ensembl:piRNA 21ur-4122 ncRNA
UUGUGAAGCCAUCGUAUUUAU